rnacentral:rRNA from 1 species
UAGGGAAUCUUCGGCAAUGGGGGCAACCCUGACCGAGCAACGCCGCGUGAGUGAAGAAGGUUUUCGGAUUGUAAAGCUCUGUUGUAAGAGAAGAACGUGUGUGAGAGUGGAAAGUUCACACAGUGACGGUAACUUACCAGAAAGGGUCGGCUAACUACGUGCCAGCAGCCGCGGUAAUACGUAGGUCCCGAGCGUUGUCCGGAUUUAUUGGGCGUAAAGCGAGCGCAGGCGGUUUAAUAAGUCUGAAGUUAAAGGCAGUGGCUUAACCAUUGUUCGCUUUGGAAACUGUUAAACUUGAGUGCAGAAGGGGAGAGUGGAAUUCCAUGUGUAGCGGUGAAAUGCGUAGAUAUAUGGAGGAACACCGGUGGCGAAAGCGGCUCUCUGGUCUGUAACUGACGCUGAGGCUCGAAAGCGUGGGGAGCAAACAGG